GAUGAACGCUGGCGGCGUGCCUAAUACAUGCAAGUCGAGCGAACGGACGAGAAGCUUGCUUCUCUGAUGUUAGCGGCGGACGGGUGAGUAACAUGUGGAUAACCUACCUAUAAGACUGGGAUAAUUUCGGGAAACCGGAGCUAAGACCGGAUAAUAUUUUGAACCGCAUGGUUCAAAAGUGAAAGACGGUCUUGCUGUCACUUAUAGAUGGAUCCGCGCUGCAUUAGCUAGUUGGUAAGGUAACGGCUUACCAAGGCAACGAUGCAUAGCCGACCUGAGAGGGUGAUCGGCCACACUGGAACUGAGACACGGUCCAGACUCCUACGCGAGGCAGCAGUAGGGAAUCUUCCGCAAUGGGCGAAAGCCUGACGGAGCAACGCCGCGUGAGUGAUGAAGGUCUUCGGAUCGUAAAACUCUGUUAUUAGGGAAGAACAUAUGUGUAAGUAACUGUGCACAUCUUGACGGUACCUAAUCAAAAAGCCACGGCUAACUACGUG
rnacentral:rRNA from 1 species